rnacentral:rRNA from 1 species
CACGUAGGGGGCAAGCGUUGUCCGGAUUUAUUGGGCGUAAAGAGCUCGUAGGCGGCUUAGUAAGUCGGGUGUGAAACCUCCAGGCUCAACCUGGAGACGCCACCCGAUACUGCUGUGGCUAGAGUCCGGUAGGGGAGCGUGGAAUUCCUGGUGUAGCGGUGAAAUGCGCAGAUAUCAGGAGGAACACCAGCGGCGAAGGCGGCGCUCUGGGCCGGUACUGACGCUGAGACGCGAAAGCGUGGGGAGCAAACAGG